rfam:Heligmosomoides polygyrus genome assembly, scaffold: HPBE_scaffold0004603
ACGCCGGUGGUGUAAAGGCGUAGAGCAUUCCCGCCCGGUCAGAGGGAGGUGCGGGUUCGAGUCCCGCCUGGCGCU